CUUUUUCCAUCGAAGCCUCAUUUAACUCGACAUAUAACGUUUCCUCCCAAAUUAUUCUUAAUUGCAUCGUCAAUACUCAUUAUACCAUGUUUAGUUUCUACAAUUCCAACUUCUGCAGGCUCCAACCCAUUCACAAAGCUAACUUUCCUUCCUUUGGCAAAUUGCAACAACUCAGAAGGAGUCAAGUUCACCUUUCUACUAGGCUUUGAUACUGCACGUAUGUAGUGAAGAACCGGUUUUCCCUCAAAGUACUUUAAACCCAACCAUAGACGGCGGGUCGCUACAUUUUGCCUAGUGGUGAUUGUGGGUAAAGCAUCGGGUCCAUGAAUAUCUCCGCGUUGAAUCGAGCUUAAAAAUCCUUGAUGAUACAAAACAGCACAUAACUCGAGCACACUGUUACAGUUAGGAACGCUUGCUAACGACUUGCGAGCGCGAAAUGAAUUUUGCAAAUGCGAAAAAACAUAAUGCAAUUGCAUUUCGACUUUUUUAACACAAUCCUAAUCUUUUAUAAGCAGUCCAACAAUAAAAGCCUUUUUUUU